AUUGAACGCUGGCGGCAUGCCUAACACAUGCAAGUCGAGCGGAGCGGCGGACGGGUGAGUAAUGCCUAGGAAUCUGCCUUGUAGUGGGGGAUAACGUCCGGAAAUGGGCGCUAAUACCGCAUACUCUCAUAUGAGCCUAGGUCGGAUUGGCUAGUUGGUGGGGUGAAGGCUUACCAAGUCGACGAUCCGUAACUGGGCGGAGAGGCUGAUCAGUCACACUGGAACUGAGACACGGUCCUGACUCCUACGGGAGGCAGCAGUGGGGAAUAGUGGACAAGGGGCGAAAGCCUGAUCCAGCCAUGCCGCGUGUGUGAAGAAGGUCUUCGGAUUGUAAAGCACUUUAAGUUGGGAGGCGUUACCAGCAGAAUAAGCACCGGCUAACUUCGUGCCAGCAGCCGCGGUAAUAC
rnacentral:rRNA from 1 species